UGACGAGUGGCGAACGGGUGAGUAUAACAUCGGAACAUACCGAGUAAUGGGGGAUAACUUAUCGAAAGGUGAGCUAAUACCGCAUACGAUCUACGGAUGAAAGUGGGGGACCCUCGGGCCUCACGUUAUUCGAGUGGCCGAUGACUGAUUAGCUAGUUGGUGGGGUAAGAGCCUACCAAGGCGACGAUCAGUAGCGGGUCUGAGAGGAUGAUCCGCCACACUGGGACUGAGACACGGCCCAG
rnacentral:rRNA from 1 species